UGACACUUUUCUUAUGCACACUCAACGUACCAUUUGCUUUAAGGUGGCUAUUUGUGAUCUCCUUGUGUUGUGAUGUUUCUACUUGUCUGUCUUUCCUAUGUAUUUCCAUUUCAUAGCAGCUAGUAUUCAAACUUUGUAUACAUUUUACACUGCUACCCAAACUAGUCAGUGACGUGUUUUGAAGUUUUCAUGGUACAAAUUAAGGUUCUAUACAUAGUGUAGAACUUGGUGGUCACUGAUGACUGGGGUUUCUUCUCUUUUCAUUUAUAUUCAAUAAAUAAAUAGAUUUCAUAGGCUGAGAGUCUGUCUCACUGGGCACUCUUGCCCAGCAUGUACGUAAGCUAGAGCUCCACACAGCAGUGCACAGUAACAGUAAGUAGACUUCAUUUUUACAUAGCCUGGGAUACCAGUGUAUUUUACAUAGCCUGGGAUACCAGUGUAUUUUACAUAGCCUGGGAUACCAGUGUAUUUUACAUAGCCUGGGAUACCAGUGUAUUUUAAGAUUCUUCAGAAGAAAUGCAGAUUUUCAUUAGGGGCUCACAGCAGUCUGCCUUGCUGACUGUUUUCAUACAGACUCCUUACAACAGAGCUCUUUUGCCAAGGUCUGAGCCAACCAGAUCAUUGAAUCCUAGUUAGGACCUAAGUCCUAAUUUUAGGUUCCUCAAAAGAAAAACAUUACUUGCCCCGACUUUGCUACAAUAUUCUGGAUUUGUUUGUUUGUUUGUUUGCUAAAUCUGGUUGUUAGAUCCUUGUUAAUAGUGCUCUGGUUAGAAUUCAGUUAAGGUUAUUUGUCUGAGAUAACACGAGAGUCAGCAGCAGUCCAGACUAGCCACUGUGUGUGUGAUAAUCUGUGCUGAAGUUUCCACACCAGAUUGUAUUUUCUGUACUUAGAACCAUAGACUUUCCUCCUGUUAUACUUAUCUCUGCUGUUUACAGAAACGUUAUGCCCUACUAGAAAAUUCACUAGCAAAAUUACCAAGGAUUUGCCCCCAUUUGGGCUAGAAAUAUAAAAAGAAAAAAAAUAUUUUUCUUAGUUGACAAAAGUAUUUGGUUUAAAUAGUUAGAAAGUUGAGCCAGCUUUGGUCAGUUUUCCUGGCAUUUUGGCUCUGACUCCAUCAUAGAUUGCGUGUACACUUUGACAUGUGUUCAUCAGGGACCCUCUCCCAGUAAAGAUUGGUUUUCCUCCCACACAGCUUUCAGGACAGAGAGCCAAGCUUUUCAGUGACCUGUUUUCAGCUGUCUUUGAAAGACUAUCUUAUUCUAGAAAAUGCUGGCGUGCUAAACUGUUCUUGGAAGAGAGUGUGCUAGUUUGACCCUCCUCAUGGUGUCUCUUGUCCUGUUAAACUUAUCAGACUUCAAGGAAAGGAAGAGAAAUCUCUGGUGAAUUUUGUGCCCCAAAUAAUGAACUUAAGUCUAACCAAGGUGACUAAGAGAUGGGUGUUUUCUCUCUCUACUCGUGAGCAAGGUUUAUUUAUGGUUGUAAGACUUACCAUGGAACUGCAGACCUAUUUGCCCAGAAAAUAAGAGUCAGAAUUUUAGUCAUGUUAAGCACAGAUUUCGAACCCUUUGGUAAAGUUAGAUAAGGGGAGACUUUUGUUUAGUAGCAGAAGGAAAAAUAAUUAUUUAUACAGUGAGUAUCCACCCUGCAAAGCCACUUCCCAGUAUGGAAGCAGCUCCUCUUUAGUCCCUUCUGCCCUACACAGAUGCUACCAUGUUUGCAAGCCAGUCUCCAAGAAGGAGCCGAGGAGUUGAUGGUCCUUUAGAGGAGAGGCCUCAGUUACUGGGUUGCAUCUGCUUGUAGGAAAGUGUGUUUGCUAACUUGAAGGAAUAUAUGCUGUACUUCAAAUAAGUGUGUGACUUAAUGCUUUGGGAUUUUUUUUCCCUCUAAAACUGGACCUGAACACAGCUUUGAGUUGGUAUUUGUAAUAAUCUCAGGACCCGAAAGAUUGUAGCAUUUAGUGUGUCUUAAAAAUUAUGUACUGUACCAGCCAUGGAGUUUUGUAAAUAUACCUGUCUCCCUUUUUUUGUAUUAUUUUAGUAAACAAUAAAUAAAUAAAUAAAUUUAAUAAAAGGGGGUGAUGAUGAUGUGUGUGUUUGUGUGUGUGUGUGACUGACUCUGUGUGUGUGUGUGUGUGUGUGUGUGUGUGUGGCUCUUUUGGAGGCAAACUGGUGCUUGUUGAAUUUCUAGUUCAGUUCAGCAGGAAUAUAGACAAACUGCUGCUGUUGACCCUUACAAUGAGCAAGGAGGAGGUCCUUCAUUUUGCCCUCUGGUGGUUCAUGUAGUACUAGCAAAAUGGAAGUCAGGAGCUAAACUCUUCUCCUCUGGCCAUAUUGCCUUUGUGUUCUUGGUCUAGCUCCAACAUUCUUUGACCUCUGGCAUUAAAGCUUCCACACUUUGAAGAUUCCUGGUUUUAGAGCUCUUAAAACUUUCCUAAGAGAGAGAGAGAGAGAAAAAGGGGGGGCUGAUUAUAAAAUAAAUAAAAAGCAACAAAAGAGCCUCACAUUUCAUAGGACCGCUGGUGAAUUUUAGAUAUUUCCAAACAUGCAUCUGAGAACUUAUUAAACUAGCCCCACAGUGCACUCCUCAGUGCGGGGAUGUCUGUGUUCAUUUUGCUUUGCGACAGCCUUGUUCAUAUUCCAGGUGUAACUAGCAAACCUGUUUUAAAAUGAGAGCCUUAUUCGAUUCAGUGUAGAUGUUUCCUGGCUAUCCUCCAAGACAGGACCUUUUUACAUGAGUGAGUUUUUCUUUUUGUAUAUGUUAAUGUGUUUGUUGUAUUAAAUAAAGAGGAAUG
rnacentral:lncRNA from 1 species